GAUGAAGAACGUAGUGAAAUGCGAUAAGUAAUGUGAAUUGCAGAAUUCAGUGAAUCAUCGAAUCUUUGAACGCACAUUGCGCCCCUUGGUAUUCCAUGGGGCAUGCCUGUUCGAGCGUCAUUUGUACCCUCAAGCUUUGCUUGGUGUUGGGCGUCUUGUCUUGUAUUAGACUCGCCUUAAAGUCAUUGGCAGCCAGUGUUUUUGGUAGUAAGCGCAGCACAUUUUGCGUCUUAGUCCUUGAAUCGUGGCAUCCAUGAAGCCUUUUUUCACUUUUGACCUCGGAUCAGGUAGGGAUACCCGCUGAACUUAAGCAUAUCAAUAAGCGGAGGA
rnacentral:misc_RNA from 1 species